rnacentral:rRNA from 1 species
GACAGAGGUGCCAAGCGUUAGGCGGAAUCACUGGGCUUAAAGCGUGCGUAGGUGGAUCGUUAAGUGCCUUGUGAAAUCCCACGGCUCAACCGUGGAACUGCUUGGCAUACUGGCGGUCUUGAGCCAUUCAGGGGCUACUGGAACAAACGGUGGAGCGGUGAAAUGCGUAGAUAUCGUUUGGAACGCCAAAGGUGAAAACAGGUAGCUGGGGAUGUGCUGACACUGAGACACGAAAGCCAGGGGAGCAAACGGG